CAAUAGCGUAUAUUAAAGUUGUUGCAGUUAGAACGCUCGUAGUCGGAUUUCGGGGCGGGUCGACCGGUCUGCCGAUGGGUACGCACUGGCCGACGCGUCCUUCCUGCCGGAGACCGUCCCUACUCUUAGCUGAGCGGGGGCGGGAGACGGCACUUUUACUUUGAAAAAAUCAGAGUGUUUCAAGCAGGCAGCUCGCUCUUGCAUGGAUUAGCAUGGGAUAAUGAAAUAGGACUUUGGUGCUAUUUUGUUGGUUUCGAACACCGAAGUAAUGAUGAGAAGGGACAGUCAGGGGCACUCGUAUUCCGCAGAGAGAGGUGAAAUUCUUAGACCCGCGGAAGACGAACCACUGCGAAAGCAUUUGCCGGGGAUGUUUUCACUGA
rnacentral:rRNA from 1 species